CCCCGGAUNCCAAAUUAUAUGGAUAGCACUGAUACGGCUAAAUAUGGUAUGUCAUACCUCCUCCCC
rnacentral:tRNA from 1 species